rnacentral:rRNA from 1 species
AUGCCGCACGAGCAUGAGCACCCUGCAGCAGAGGACAUCCCCGAAUCUGAUCCCGACGAGUGUGUAGGAGUACAUGUCAAGAAAGCAGAGUUGCACAUACGAGAUAUACAUGAAGCGAAACUUUUGAUCCAAGAGCUGAAUCGAUCGGGCGUGGGAGAGGACAUCAGCGAUGAGGAGUUCCUUGCUUACUUUGACCAGCUGGCUCCCGGGCCUCCGUGGAUUGAUCUUAGAGCCGGGCUGACAGAAGAGGAUCUCGGUCAGCAAUACGUCGACCAUGCACUGUGCCGCUUCAGAUAUUACAAAUACAAGUUGCCACAGCCCAAGGAAGAGCCGCAUGGUGAUAACCUUCUGGAGGAGGAAGAGGACGAUAAGGAAGAAAGGGAAUAUUUAGCUACAUUGACAAAGAAGCAACUUCUAUUCCUUGAGGAAGAUGACGCUACAUCGGAAGAGGAUGAUAACCUUAUGGAUAAAACUGAGGAUGAUUGUAGUAUGGAGUUUCUUGAGGAGAAGGGAUUUUUCAUUAGCUUUGAAGAAGACGGAACACUCGAUUGGUUUUUCUACUCUGCUUACUGCGAAUGUGCUUCCCUGAGUGACUAUCAACGCCUAGUCCUAAAAAAUUAUGGUGGUACCGAGUACAGCAUGUGGAGUGUCUACCCUAGCUACCGUCAUAGCUAUGAUAUUGAACGAGAGUAUCUCAAGUACUGCCAGGAAUUAUCCAAGCAACUGAAGUGGAUGGAAGAUUAUGUCGAUAUUUGCCGCUCAUCCGUCAAAUGGGGUAAAAUAUCUUCCCGAGGAGCAUUUCAAGCAAUUAAGAUUGCUGCUACUAGCUUUCCCAAGAUCACUCCUACUUUAGCUUACAAUGGCUUUGAUGAGUAUAAAGAGCGCAUUUGCUAUUAUCAUACUUGGUUUAAGGAGUAUGAUCGUUUGUACUUUGAGAUUUGGCGGCGUGUCACAAAGGGAACGAGUUUCAGAAAGGCUAUGGAGGAUGUUUGCAAGAUGAACAAGUUUCCAGUACGACAAGGUUUAAUGCAAACUGCCCUGGACCAUGAGUACACCAUGACGUUGAUGGAAGAGGACUUUCAUACCUGCACGGCAGCCAUUCGCCCUGGAGUUAAAGAGGAUAAAGCUAAGGAGUUGAUCGCAGACGGAGUUAAAAAGCUGGUUAAUAUGCCCAAGUCCUAUGAGGAUUAUAUCAGAAAAAAGAUAGAGAUCGCAUGCAUUACUGGAAUUCUUCCUUCUGAGAAGACUGAGGCAACAGUAUAA